rnacentral:rRNA from 1 species
GACGAACCGUGCGAACGUUAUUCGGAAUCACUGGGCUUAAAGCGCGUGUAGGCGGGACGGCACGUCGGUCGCUGAAAUCCCCCGGCUUAACCGGGGAACUGGCGUCGAUACGACCGCCCUGGAGGGCGUAGGGGGACCUGGAACUUCCGGUGGAGCGGUGAAAUGCGUUGAGAUCGGAAGGAACGCCCGUGGCGAAAGCGAGGUCCUGGACGCCUACUGACGCGAUGAGACGGCGAAAGCCA